CCUGGUCUCCUACCAUAGAUAUAUCGACGAUAUAUUUUUUAUAUGGAAGGGCACACAAUUGGAUUUAGAACUCUUUUUAGCAAGUAUUAAUCUAAAUGAGGGGGGUUUACAUUUUAGCAGUUCCUUUAGCAGUCAGAAUAUUAAUUUUUUAGAUUUGGAAAUUUAUGAAGAAGCCGGCAUUUUAAAAACAAUUUUUUUUAUUUUUUUUUAAAGUAGACGCCAAUUGCUAUGUAUUAUAUAACAGCGGGCACUAUACCCCCUGGCUCAAUAAUAUUCCAAAAGGUCAACUACAAAGGAUAAGAAGGAACUGCACUGAACAGAAUUUUUUUGAAGAGCAAGCAAAAGUAGUAAUAGAUAAAUUUUCCCAAAAACAAUAUCCCACUGAUAUACUAAAUAGGGCAUACGAUGAAAUUAAAGACCUGGAGCAGAAUCAAUUGGUUUUUAGACAAAGCAAUUAUAACAAAGGACAAGAGAAAUUUGAUAAAGUGCCUUUAGUUUUAGAUUUUAAUCAGGACUUUAAAAGAGUUAAAUCUAUUAUUAAUAGACACUGGC